rnacentral:lncRNA from 1 species
CCGUGAACCACGUACUGGAAUAAAUUGUGCAGCUGGGUAAGGCAGAGCAUGACAGAUCGCUGGUUCUAACUCGAGGGUUUAGGGUUUUGACCGAUGGACUUGUAUAUAAGAGAAAGUUACUCAUCAGAGGCUCAAAGCAGCAGCAGGUAAGAUGUAGCUAUAUGGCAGCACCUGCAUGCAUGUCUCUGAAACGAAGCAGCACCUGCAUGCAUGCAUACCCAGCACCUGCAUGCACACCACCCCGUGUGAGAAAGACCGAUUUAUAUGGCAGAAUUGGACAUCAUGGUAACGAUGAUCAUCAUUAAUAUCCAAACCAACCAAACAAAGAAACACCAAAUUGACCUUCAUGGCUUUGGCAAUUGGGAUGGAAAACCGAUUAUGAGACACUUCCGAUAUGAUUAGUGGAGUCUCAUCUCACUCUAUCUUAUACGCCAUGUAAAUUAUUUCAAAUCUGAAAUAAAUGUUUUUUUAUCCAUCGAUCAUCAAGACACUCCCGUUUAAGCAAACAUAACUUCAAGUUUUAUUAAAAACCAGUACAUUAUUGUUGGUAUGAUCUAUCGAGCAUUACUUAAGAGUAGUUAGAGUACUAAUCACUAGAUUCACACACGGCCGACACACCCAUGCACACUUCCGGUGGCAGAAAUUUUCAGAUAAACCUUUGGAUGAUUGUCGAAGACUUGAAGCCAUUGAUAUCAAUAUAUUCACUUAUAUUUGUAUCGAGGAAAAAGAAAGAUUCACUUGUUAUCCAUUCUACUAUGUUUUGCCGUAUAAUGUGAUCGAUGUGCCUGGCAAAUUAGUCAUGUAGUGGAUAUGAAAAAUGGUCCCCAUGAAAUCUUCCACUUAUUCCAUCAAAAGAUUUCAUCCCUCUCCUUUCUCCUAAACACACCAACAUCAACUACUGUUUAAGCGUGCGAUUACCACUGUUUAGCCUAAUCAAAGCAGACAUGGAAUUGAAAUUUUUUUGUUAUAUCUGCAAUGCUUCACGUUUGUUGGUUCGGUUGGGAGUUUAUGGUUGGUUAAGUCAUCACGGCGUCUUUCCAAGUUAUCGGCCGGUCUCCAUCAAACUCAAACUUAACACCGAAAAUUAUUAAGAGUGAG